rnacentral:misc_RNA from 1 species
UCUGCUGGGUUCAUUGCAAUGUGAGGAGAACAUCCGAUGGACGAAAAGUAGGCCAUAGCUUCUGAUGCCUUCCCGAAGUAUAGCAAACUCCCCUUUCCUAGCAGGAUUAAUUUAUCAAAUUUGUGAAAGAGCCUGCUUGAUGGUUGAUGGAUUGUGGUUAUCACAGUUUUUCUGUCCUCAGCUAUGUCAUGGAGCACCUGAACUAUCUUUAGAGCUGUUGUUGAGUCCAGGCCAGAUGUAGGCUCGUCUAGAAAUAGCAUGGAAGGGUUGAUUAUGAUCUCAUUCCCUAUGCACACCCUUUUCCUCUCUCCUCCUG